rnacentral:rRNA from 1 species
AUUGAACGCUGGCGGCAGGCCUAACACAUGCAAGUCGAGCGGAGAGGCGGACGGGUGAGUAAUGCCUAGGAAUCUGCCUGGUAGUGGGGGAUCACGUCCGGAAACGGGCGCUAAUACCGCAUACUAUCAGAUGAGCCUAGGUCGGAUUAGCUAGUUGGUGGGGUAAAGGCCUACCAAGGCGACGAACCGGAACUGGUCUGAGAGGAUGAUCAGCCACACUGGAACUGAGACACGGACCAGACUCCUACGGGAGGCAGCGGUGGGGAAUAUUGGACAAUGGGCGAAAGCCUGUUCCGGCAAUGCCGCGUGUGUGACGAAGGCCUUCGGGUUGUAAAGCACUUUUGGGAGGAAAGCGGUACCUGCAGAAUAAGCACCGGCUAACUCCGUGCCAGCAGCCGCGGUAAUAC